AGACACCUGCAGGUGGCAGCAAAACCAAGGCUCAUCAAGCGGAAGGCUCCCAGUUCUCUCCCUUGAUGUUAAAGCAGCUCUCCUAUUGCAGAGCACAUCGAAAUUUGGUGUCUGCAUAACAGCAGGCUUGUUUUUAACACCCCCCCCCCCCAACCCUGGAAAUAAUAUUCUCUAAGUCUUUUGGAACCAAACCUGCCAAGUAGAGUGUAACAUGUUUCCUAAUCAUUUGGGCCACAUUCUCCCUCCUGAAUGGGUGUUGGUUUCAGUGGGAAUGUUUUCUGCAGCUGUGGAUCAUUGAGAAGAUGGUUCCGAUUUGCUCUGGUAAGCUGAAGAAAUAGCCAAGCACGUGGCAUGAAGUGAAAUAAGGACAAAUGCAGGCGACACCCUGGAGGCAGGCAAGUAGGGACAAAAGAAAGUCUGGAGGGCAAGGUGGUGAACUGGAUUCCAACCCGGCCAGCACUGUCGCUGAGGCACACCUCAGCCAGGCAAUGGAGAAACACAUGGAUCUACAUGGAUCUUUCUGGAGGAUGGCAAUGAGAGUCCUAUGGUAUAGCACAUCUUUCUUUUCUGGACCCCACUGGCUUCCAGCUGGGCUUUAGGUAAGCUUUUUAUUCUUUUUUUCUUUUCUUUUCUUUCUUUUCUUUUCUUUUCUUUUCUUUUUUUUUUCUUUUCUUCUUUCUUUUCUUCUCUUUUUUUUUCUUUUUAUUCUUUUAAGCACAAGAUACUUUGAGAAAAGGGACCACCAUCAUUGGUACUCAUUUCUUCUAGGUAAAUAUAUUUUUGCUGUUUUGAGCUGUUGAACUUGUGGCUCUGUGUCUUGUUACUGGAUCUACCUCUUUCGAAGUCUGAUUUAGUUGGUUGGUUUAUUUCUAGGGUAUGACUAAAUUUGUUCCCUUUCACCCUAGUAUCUAAUGAAAUAGGAAAAUUCCUUUCUUGUUCCCAAGAAAGAGAUGCAAAUCGGUGUAGGCUAGAAUAGACUGGGCUUGGAGUAAAGUUGUGGGACCACCCUGAGAGCAUGAAGUGGGGAAUUUCCUCCCCACCAGUGGCUGGACUGUGGGCCUCUGGAAGGCAGGGGCUAUGUAUUUCCCACAGUGCUUAACACGGGUAUAUGUAAAUGCUCAGAUAAUGUGUUCUUGAAGAGUUUGUUUGGUCUGCAUAUCUGACCUCUUGCCCACGUAUCAGAUGCAGCAGAUCUAAGAGCAGGGACCUUUUCUUGGAGCUCUGCUUCUGGGACAGAGAUAGGAAUCUUUGGAGGAUGAGCCAAUCAUCAAAGAGGAAGUUCAGUCCAGUUCCUGUUCAGAGGCUUCCAGGUUAGGUCAGAAUAGAAAAAGCCAAAUAGGAGAUGUGAUCUUCUAAGUGGAGCUUUUUGGCCAGGAAGACCCAAAAGUUGUCAAUCAGCCUGCCUCUUGCAGUCAGACCAGACCAGAUUUAUGACAGCUGAGAUAUAUAGGAUGUGAUUGCACCUGUUUACAUUGGAAACUUCUUUGCCUUAAUUUGUGAGUUUUCCUGUGUACUAAAUUAUGAAAGCUUUCUGCUUGCUUUUCAGUGAAAACAUUUGACUUCCUUCCAACGGAAGCACAUAAUGGGUAGUCACAUUCC
rnacentral:lncRNA from 12 species